AUUGAACGCUGGCGGCAUGCUUUACACAUGCAAGUCGAACGGCAGCACGGGUGCUUGCACCUGGUGGCGAGUGGCGAACGGGUGAGUAAUACAUCGGAACGUGCCCUAUCGUGGGGGAUAACGCAGCGAAAGUUGCGCUAAUACCGCAUACGCCCUGAGGGGGAAAGCGGGGGACCGUAAGGCCUCGCGCGAUUGGAGGGGCCGAUGUCUGAUUAGCUUGUUGGUGAGGUAAAGGCUCACCAAGGCAACGAUCAGUAGCUGGUCUGAGAGGACGAUCAGCCACACUGGGACUGAGACACGGCCCAGACUCCUACGGGAGGCAGCAGUGGGGAAUUUUGGACAAUGGGGGCAACCCUGAUCCAGCAAUGCCGCGUGAGUGAAGAAGGCCUUCGGGUUGUAAAGCUCUUUUGUCAGGGAAGAAACAGCAGCUUUAAUACAGCAUGCGAAUGACGGUACCUGAAGAAUAAGCACCGGCUAACUACGUGCCAGCAGCCGCGGUAA
rnacentral:rRNA from 1 species